CCGGCGCACGGGUGAGUAACACGUAUCCAACCUGCCGAUGACUCGGGGAUAGCCUUUCGAAAGAAAGAUUAAUACAAGAUGGCAUCAUGAGUCCGCAUGUUCACAUGAUUAAAGGUGUUCCGGUAGACGAUGGGGAUGCGUUCCAUUAGAUAGUAGGCGGGGUAACGGCCCACCUAGUCUUCGAUGGAUAGGGGUUCUGAGAGGAAGGUCCCCCACAUUGGAACUGAGACACGGUCCAA
rnacentral:rRNA from 1 species